ensembl:lncRNA
GGCGGACCAAUUGGUUGCCAGGCAACCGAGUUUGGUCUCGCUCAUGUUACACAGAUCUUCUGUCCAUCUCUCCUUCUCUCUGCGUCCUGGCUGGGAACCCUUUAAAGGACUCACUGGAGAUAUUUCCACUUAAAACUUAUUUUUCUGAUACUAAUUCCACUCCAGGCUCCAAAGUUCGCGGUUGCCAGUUGCAGGUGUUGCUGCUCUGUGGCUGGUAGGAUGCAGCAAUUGGCCAUGAAGGUCCUUUGUUCCACUUUGAUCCUUCUGUUGGUGGUUCCAUCUGUGUAUUCACAGUCAGAUUGUUCUCAGGCCCAGUCAUGUGACCAGUGCGUCGGAGACUUAUUUAUCAACGUGACAAGCUGCGUCUGGAGGCUUUGUCCAAAUGGUAAUGAUACAGGCACAUGUAUGACUGAUCAGGGAGAUGCAGCAGACAGCGGUACGGGCUGCGGCUGGACCAGGAUUUCUGAACUGUGCCCACUUGUCGAGGCUGCUGGUAAAAGUGACUCAGAUUGUGCUCAAGCCCAGUCAUGUGACCUGUGUGUCGGAGACCCCAUGCUCAACCCGACAGGCUGCGUCUGGAGGCUUUGUCCAAAUGGUAACGAUACAGGCGUGUGUGUGACUGAUAAGGGCGACGUAGCAGACAGCAGCAACGACUGCAGCUGGACCAGAGAUUCUGGUCUUUGCCCACUUGUCGAGACUGUUGCUGUUGUUGGAGUAGAUAAAGGUGACUCAGGUGAUGGACAAAAUCCACGCCCUCAGCUCUCCCAGGCCAAGUUCAGCAUGCCCAGCUUCAUAGGAGGCAUCGUGCUUGUUCUGAUCGUGCAGGCAGGCGUCCUCAUCGCCAUGCGCUUCCUGAAGUCCAAAGAGAAGACCAACUAUGACCCCAUAGAGUAGCCACAUACACGAAGGACAAACUGACAAGGCUGGACGACAGCAGAGCGGUGACUCAUCCAGUUGUGACGCAGUGGGAGUGAACUGAUUCAGCUGCGUCUGCUGAUAAGAAUCACCGUCCUCUCAUAAAUAUCUGGCAGUUGGUGUGAACCCCAG